UACGGGGGGAGCAAGCGUUGUUCGGAUUUACUGGGCGUAAAGGGGCGCGUAGGCGGUCAGCACAAGUCAGUUGUGAAAUCUCCGGGCUUAACUCGGAAAGGUCAACUGAUACUGUGCGACUAGAGUGCAGAAGGGGCAACUGGAAUUCUCGGUGUAGCGGUGAAAUGCGUAGAUAUCGAGAGGAACACCUGCGGCGAAGGCGGGUUGCUGGGCCGACACUGACGCUGAUGCGCGAAAGCCAGGGGAGGCGAACGGG
rnacentral:rRNA from 1 species